UUUUUCAUGCAGGGCUGAUGCUGAAGGACGAUUGGUUAACAGAGCUGAUGCUGUAAGACGAUUGGUUAACAGGGCUGAUGCUGUAAGACGAUUGGUUAACAGACAGACACACAGAGCCUUGAAGGACAGAGGCCAUGUUGAAGACAUUGAUCCAGAAUGAAAUAUUCCCCACAAUUUGAAGUUGACCCAGAGGUGAGGAUGAGACAGUUAUAGGACGACAUGGACCAGAGGAUGAGACAGUUAUAGGACGACAUGGACCAGAGGUGAGGAUGAGACAGUUAUAGGACGACAUGGACCAGAGGUGAGGAUGAGACAGUUAUAGGACGACAUGGACCAGAGGUGAGGAUGAGACAGUUAUAGGACGACAUGGACCAGAGGUGAGGAUGAGACAGUUAUAGGACGACAUGGACCAGAGGUGAGGAUGAGACAGUUAUAGGACGACAUGGACCAGAGGUGAGGAUGAGACAGUUAUAGGACGACAUGGACCAGAGGUGAGGAUGAGACAGUUAUAGGACGACAUGGACCAGAGGUGAGGAUGAGACAGUUAUAGGACGACAUGGACCAGAGGUGAGGAUGAGACAGUUAUAGGACGACAUGGACCAGAGGUGAGGAUGAGACAGUUAAAGGACGACAUGGACCAGAGGUGAGGAUGAGACAGUUAUAGGACGACAUGGAUCAGAGGUGAGGAUGAGACAGUUAUAGGACGACAUGGACCAGAGGUGAGGAUGAGACAGUUAAAGGACAACAUGGAUCAGAAUGUGAUGGUCCAUUAUUACUACAGGAAUAUACAGAAAUGUCAUUAUUAUUGGUAUAUUAUUUACAUUAAGUAUCAUAAUGUGAUGCAUG